GUAGACAGCUUGAAAGAUAGUUUACUAAAUUAUUUCCUACAUUGCGCAGAUCGGGUUUCCUUUCUUCGCCCUGCAGAAUUAAGUUCCAGUCUCUAUUUAUUUCCAGCACGACUCGUCUGCUCGUUAGCAGACAAACAUUUUAAUUUAUAUCAGGUUAGUCAUAUGUCAGAUAAAGUAAUGGGCACAGUUAAGUGGUUCAAUGAAUCUAAAGGUUUUGGCUUCAUCGAGCAAUCAUCAGGUCCAGACGUUUUUGCACAUUUCAGUGCAAUCUCUGGUGGUGGUUUCAAGACUCUGACUGAAGGUCAGCGUGUUGAGUUCACUUUGGGCCAAGGCGCCAAAGGUCCUCAAGCUGAGAACAUCGUAGGCCUGUAAUGAUUGGC
rnacentral:sRNA from 1 species